rnacentral:lncRNA from 1 species
CCUUCCGCCGUCUUCUGGACCGGCCUCCUGCAAGUCCUAAUCUCAGCCCAAAUUCAGCGCUGGCUUCCAUCUGGAGAUCUUUGAUGGGUACAAAUGGUAGCCGACUUUCUUCGAUCAUCUCUCGAACGGGAGUUCGCACACAAUACUGAGACCAGAAUAAAGCAGUGCAUUUACUACCUUGUGAAGAAUGUUCAGGUGUUCAGUGGGCUUGAUCCAGUCAGGUGAAGGUCUGAAGAGAAAAAAAGACCGUCCUCUUCCCAGAACAAGAGAAUCCUCCAACAGAUACCUUUGGACUGGACCUUGCACCAUCAGCUUUCCUGGGUUUCCAGCCUCCUGCCUCACACUCCAGCUUUUGGACUUGUUAGACUUAAUAAUAACAACACAAGCCAAUCCUUUUAAGGAAGUUUGUCUGGAGAAUCUUGACAAACACAAACAUCUACUGAGAGUUCCUGUCCAAGUUUUGCUCACACCCUAGCAAGAGGCUUCUGGCUUACCAGUUGGGAGUGUGAGGUUCUUUGCUUGUAAGACCUGAUCCACCAGCGGUACACCAGCUCUGGCCCAGGGCAAGACAGGGAAUUUCCCAAUCACUGAGUAGGCUGUAGCCACUCUCUCCAUUAGGCCUGACUUCACCAUGGGGAAGGGGAGACCCUUUCAAGGGUAUUCUUUCCUGGGGUACUCUCAGUCCUAGGACAUCAUAGCUCUCUUUCAUCCCUCUUAAAAGUUAAUACCAUUAUCAGUUAACAGUUUUUAUAUUAAAAUUAUCCCUGUUCAAGUUAAUGGUAUGGUUUCUGUAUCCUGACUGGAUAUUAGGAUACAGUAUUUACUGUCUUAUUUCUACUACUUUAUGUUUAAAGUUUUUCAUAAUAUUUAAACUGAAGUUUUGAUCAUUCAUUAAAUAUUUACACAGAACAGGACAAAGGAUGAUUUUCCUUUGUCUAGUUAUUGUAAGGUAGCGUCCAAGAUUUACCACCACAUCAUGAUUACAGAUGGUCACCAACUUAUGUUUUAGGAUUUUUUGACUUUAUGAUG